rnacentral:rRNA from 1 species
CAAGAGUUUGAUCCUGGCUCAGGAUGAACGCUAGCUACAGGCUUAACACAUGCAAGUCGAGGGGCAGCAUGACGAUAGCUUGCUAUUGUCGAUGGCGACCGGCGCACGGGUGGGUAACGCGUAUCCAACCUGCCCUUGUCCAUCGGAUAACCCGUCGAAAGGCGGCCUAACACGAUAUGCAGUUCUCAGCAGGCAUCUAACGAGAACGAAAUGUGAAGGAGAAGGAUGGGGAUGCGUCUGAUUAGCUUGUUGGCGGGGUAACGGCCCACCAAGGCGACGAUCAGUAGGGGUUCUGAGAGGAAGGUCCCCCACAUUGGAACUGAGACACGGUCCAAACUCCUACGGGAGGCAGCAGUGAGGAAUAUUGGUCAAUGGACGCGAGUCUGAACCAGCCAUGCCGCGUGCAGGAUGACGGCUCUAUGAGUUGUAAACUGCUUUUAUAGGGGAAUAAAGUGAGCCACGUGUGGUUUUUUGCAUGUACCCUAUGAAUAAGGACCGGCUAAUUCCGUGCCAGCAGCCGCGGUAAGACUGUCU